rnacentral:rRNA from 1 species
UAAAAAUUAAUUAAGGUAGUAAAAAAAAUUAAAACCUAUAUGCAAAUGGCGGCAUUUUAUCUUAUUAGAGGAAUAUGUUUACUAAUAGACUCUACACGUUAAAUUUUACUUGUAAACAAAUCUUAUAUACCUCCGUCAAAAGAAUAAAUUUUAAAAUAUUAUUCUUAAUAAAGUAUAAAAAGUCAGGUAAAGGUGUAGACUAUAUACAAGAAUAAAAUGUAUUACAUUAAAAAAAAAUUUAAAGAGAAAGUAAAAAAUUACUUUUACAAAAAGGAUUUAAACGUAAUUAUAUUAAUAAUAUUUCUUUAUGAAUAAGAAAACAAAUGUGC